rnacentral:lncRNA from 1 species
GGGAUACUUCGUAUCCAAAGUAUUUCCUUAUUUCUGUACUCAUCUGACACUCACAUUUACUCCUGCUUUUACAUCUGCUCUGUUCAUAUGGAGAUCAUCUGGCCUUGAUGCUGCUGAGAAUUCUCUCUCUUCCCUCAUGCCUGAAUGUGGAUAAAGACAGCAAAUUCAUUGCUGAACAAGUUGGUUUUACAGACUAGAUAAGCUUACUAUCUAGUAUCUUGUAUUGGAAACUGGAAAAAAACAUGCUUGCUUAAAAUAUACCACAGUGAUGAAAAAGGGAAUUUUCAGGUAUGCUCUCUAAAGAAAUAAAGAGCAAGCUAAGAUUACCUUUCUCUUUGAAACACUUUAAACACCCCUUCCUCCAUGCAAACAGUACUUAAAUUAUUGUGGUUUGCUGGUGGUUCAGUAAGCAAAAUAUUAUUUGUAGUGUCUUUGUAGUAGGCUGCACAGAUUGGGAAUUUUAGUCACUGCUGUUAAUAUUCUUCUUGAAGCAGAAAACCACAACUAAGGGACUGAAAUAUGAAGAAAGAGAGGGGGAUGGAAGAAAAAUGAAAAGCUAAAGCAUACCUUUGUCCAAGGUUUUCAUUUGUGUCUAACCUUCCCUGUCAUUUCUACCCUUCUAAUUCUUUCAGGAUAUGAUAGAAAAAUGUCUCCUCUGACUAUAGAAAAGCACUCUCAAAUUUCUGUGCCACUACUUGAAACACGGUGAUGCUUUUAAUGCAGACAUUUUCCAUGGCCUUAACUGCUCACAGGAUUUACAUUUCCCAGAAUUCCUGGUCAGUAUGGAUUUCAACUAGUGGCCUGAAUGUAACCAAAGACGAGGAAUAUACCUGGGAAAGUACAACCCUUUGCUCUUUUUCCAGAAGGUAUACUUUGUUUUUGCGGAAUACCUUCCUUCCUGGGUAA